rnacentral:lncRNA from 1 species
AGAGAGGAUAAUAUCCUCAAAUAAUCAAGCAGCAAAUUCAAAGAAAUAUACAAUGGCAUUUUACAAAGUUGGUAUCCUUUCUCUCCUCUUAUUGUCCGGUAAGGCUUCUUUCAUAUAUUUUGCUUCUUAACAAACUUUAAAGGGAAAAAGGUUCGAAAUAUAUCUAAACUUUGACGAAAUUUACUGUAACACGUCUCAACUUUGCGAGGAUUCUAUGAUCUCCCUCGACUAUUUAUUACCGUAUUUGUAUGACAUAUAUUUGUCCAACUGGACCACUGCUUGAAUACGCGCACACUGAGCACGUAAGAGUCUGAAGUGGUCCAGGUGGAUAAAUAUAUGCCACAGAAAUACAUAAAUAAUAGAAGGGGGUCAUAGGGCCCUUGCAAAAUUAAGACGUGUUACAGCAAAUUUCGUCAAAAUUUAGGUAUAUUUUUAAUUCUUCUCCCAACUUCAAGCCAAAAAAUGUAACUUAUAUUUGGUGGUGUCAAAUGGGCAAGUUAGAUUGAAGUUGAAGGGUUAAAGUAGACGAGUUAAUGAUCUGCUAAAAACUUACUUAGGUUAAGAUGGCUUAAAUUACAGGUUAAUGAACCAACUCGCUAAACUCAUAUCUAGUUUCAACUUCUUUUUUCAUCUUGUAAGAAUUUAUAAUAUAAUGAUUAACAUAAUCUAUCCUUAAUUAUCAAAAUGUAAUAUGAUUAAAAUCUCAAUUAUUUGUAUAAUUGUACUCAUGUGUAAUAAUAAGGUCUGCCUUUACCUCGCC